GACGAACGCUGGCGGCGUGCUUAACACAUGCAAGUCGAGCGGUAAGGCCCUUUCGGGGUACACGAGCGGCGAACGGGUGAGUAACACGUGGGUGACCUGCCCUCAGCUCUGGGAUAAGCCCGGGAAACUGGGUCUAAUACCGGAUAUGACUCCACGGUGCAUGUCGUGGGGUGGAAAGCCUUGUGCGGCUGAGGAUGGGCCCGCGGCCUAUCAGCUUGUUGGUGGGGUGAUGGCCACCAAGGCGACGACGGGUAGCCGGCCUGAGAGGGCGACCGGCCACACUGGGACUGAGACACGGCCCAGACUCCUACGGGAGGCAGCAGUGGGGAAUCUUGCGCAAUGGGCGAAAGCCUGACGCAGCGACGCC
rnacentral:rRNA from 1 species